rnacentral:lncRNA from 1 species
UAUGGGGACACAGAACCUCAUGCCAGUGAGAUUUGCAUCUUUCAGUUAAAGAGAGCCUGCAGGGAGUGGCUGGGCCCAGGACUGGCUACUUUCUUGGGUGGUGUAGCUCUAAUCACCAUGCUCGGCUACUUUUCUCUGCAUUCCUAAUGGUGAGAAGGCAAUUUGGGGCAACUUCGUGUAGUUGAUUGCAAUUUGCAACGAGUGUUUAGGAGUUUAGAAACUUAGGAAUUUGCCUGAAUACAGGGCUAACCAUAGACUAAAAAAAUCUACAUCAAUGUACCUAUACCUCAAGAUUUCCUUUUUUGAUCAGAUUGUGGGUAAGAGAAAGCAGAGGAGCUCAUUUGAUCAUCAGACAAGAAUAAAGCCAUCUGCUUUGUUUUCCUUUUUUUUUACCUUAGCCACCAGGAAGCUCCGGGUAAGAUCUAAUGUUCAGGUGCUGUAUUUUUCAGGUCUCUGGAUUCUGAUACGUUUCUCUGUUCUUUUCCUUGAGUCAAUUUUUCAUUUAAAAGAUGUGCAAGCAUUAAAAUUAAAGCUAUUACACAUGGUGACUCACUUGGUGUGGAAUCUGGAAUAUGAUAGGUACUGAGGUGUGUGUGGUGGGGAGGGGGGACCUUUCCUGACAUUUAUACACAGGGACACAGAAUGCCAACUUUCAUGAUUGAUGAGCCGUUUUCAUUUAUUUAAUAGUUCUUAUGAUAUGCCAAGUGCUGUCUGAGUGCUUUACAAAUAUUAGUUCAUUUAAUCUUUAUAACGACUCUAGGAGGUAUGUGUUCAUACUAUUAUCCCCAUUUUGCAGAUGGGGAAACUGGGACGGAUGGAAACUAACUUGCCCAGAGUCACAUGGCCAGAAAGUGGCAAAGCCAAGAUCUGAAUGCAGGCAGCCUGUCUCUGGGCCCAGGCUUUUCUCCGGAGCUUUAGGGCUUAGCUGUGCUGUCCAACAGUGGAGCCACCAGCCGCAUGUGACUGUCAGCGUUUUUAAAGGAAAGAAUGGGGAAGACAGAGGUGGUGAGCAGAGGCGGGUGAAGUGCUGGAUGAGCACAGCUUCGGAAGAGCUGGGGAGAGGAGCCUGCGUGCAGCGCAGCGAAGGCACCUGGACCCGGUAG